UCCCGUGGAUUUAACAGCUCAGCAGAAGCGUCUCCUGGGGUUGCUGUCCCGCCUCUGCCUGGCUGGCUGAGAAACGUUGACUGCCCUUACCGGCCAAGAUGUAAAUUGGUCCAAAAUCAAGCGUGAGCAGCUUGUGAGGCUUCCCACACCUCGGCAAGGCAGCCACCCCGGCAGAACAGAGCAGAGCACUGGAAGAAGAGCCCAGGUCGGGAUGCUGCCGUUCCCCCCGUCAGCGCUGCGGAGACACGAGCUGGGUCCAACUGAGCCUGGUCCCCGCUUGCUCACUGCAGUCAUUUUAGAUCACUUGUGACUCACAGUCAACACUCAGGGCUGGAAAGGGCUGGAGCUUUUUUCCUAUUCUACGAAAAUCAAUAGGCACAAUUUUGCCCAAGCAUUCUGGCAUCACCAACCUCUAUUUUUAUACGGAGCCCUACAUUUGGCCUUUCCAACCUACUUGAUUUGCUACAAUGCGUUCCCUUCCUUGUUCUUAAAAACUAUGUCGUUUCUCUGCAGGAGGGUUGCUUUCGGGUUGAAUUUUUGAUGGUUUUAGGGCUGGAUCCAACUCCCGGGGGUGCCGGGAUGGGCUUUUUUAACACCUGAAGGGGUCUGCCCACUGCCUCGCACCUUGUCUCGGCGCUUACAUCUGCGGGGAGUGGGUGGUGCGGGGCUGCGGCUCUGCUCGCCUCGCCUCCUACGCCCGCUGCGAGCUGGCUGAGCAGGCAUGGAGCUGUGGAUUAUUCCUUGCAAGUACUGAGGAAGUGGAGAAUAAGGGCGAAAAUAGUUGGGAUUUGAUAGCGUGCGCAACAUCUGACAAACCUCAGUCUCCAAAGGAAGCAGCGAUUGAUUUAUAUCUUUAUUUGUCUCUAUGUAAUCUGGGUGUUGUCUUUAUGUAAUUUUUCAAGCGCUCUCUCUAGCAAAUGUGGUGAAGAAAGAAAUGCUGGGUUUUGUACUUACCUGCUUCCCUAAUAAACUCCUAAAAAUA